AGGAGCUGAAUGCACACCCAUUUGUCUAAAUCACAAUGUGACAUAUAGCAAGAUGGAGGCAAUCAUAUUGCCAAUUAACACAACAGAAAAAACUCUGCAGCACUGGAUGAAUCCAAUCAGGGUCAAGGUCAGCUCUAAAAAUGUGAAAAUAAAGCAGCAUUGUGUCUAUGCCUAAUGACUUUCUAUGCAAGGUUAUAUACUGACAGCAUAAUAAGGGUGGGCUUUGUCAUUAUCAAGGCUCUGCCACUGUGAUCAGGUAUUUUCUGGUCCACACUGAGAAAGAUUAUAA